rnacentral:rRNA from 1 species
UAGGGAAUCUUCCACAAUGGACGCAAGUCUGAUGGAGCAACGCCGCGUGAGUGAAGAAGGUUUUCGGCUCGUAAAGCUCUGUUGUUGGUGAAGAAGGAUAGAGGUAGUAACUGGCCUUUAUUUGAUGGUAAUCAACCAGAAAGUCACGGCUAACUACGUGCCAGCAGCCGCGGUAAUACGUAGGUGGCAAGCGUUGUCCGGAUUUAUUGGGCGUAAAGCGAGCGCAGGCGGAAGAAUAAGUCUGAUGUGAAAGCCCUCGGCUUAACCGAGGAACUGCAUCGGAAACUGUUUUUCUUGAGUGCAGAAGAGGAGAGUGGAACUCCAUGUGUAGCGGUGGAAUGCGUAAAUAUAUGGAAGAACACCAGUGGCGAAGGCGACUCUCUGGUCUGCAACUGACGCUGAGGCUCGAAAGCAUGGGUAGCGAACAGG